rnacentral:rRNA from 1 species
CAAUGGGGGAAACCCUGACCGAGCAACGCCGCGUGUGCGAUGGAGUCCCUCAGGGACGUGAAGCACUGUGGGGGGCCGCCAAACGGGCGGGCAGGAAAUGGCCCGUCCCCGAGGAGCCCCCUAGAAAGCGACUGCUAACCACGUGCCAGCAGCAGCGGUAAUACGUGGGUCGCAAGCGUUAUCCGGAAUCAUUGGGCGUAAAGAGUGAGCAGGCGGUCCGGGAAGUCCGCGGUGAAAUGCGGGGGCUCAACCCCCGCAGGCCGCGGAUACUUCCGGUCUGGGGUGCGGGAGAGGCGGACGGAACUCCGCGUGUAGCGGUGAAAUGCACUGAUACGCGGAAGAACACCGGUGGCGAAGGCGGUCCGCCAGACCGAUACCGACGCUCAGUCACGAAAGCGUGGGGAGCAAAUAGGAUUAGAUACCCUAGUAGUCCACGCCGUAAACGAUGGGGGCCAGGGCGCGGGGUCGACCCGCGUCCGAAGCAAACGCAUUAAGCCCCCCGCCUGGGUACUACGUUCGCAAGAAUAAAACUUAAAGGAAUUGGCGGGUGCCCGCACAAGCAGUGGAGCAUGCGGUUCAAUUCGUGGCUACACGUAGAACCUUACCAGGGUUUGACAUGCCGGCAAAGGCCCCGGAGACGGGGAGAUAGCUAUGCCGGACAAAGGUGGUGCAUGGCUGUCGUCAGCUCGUGUCGUGAGAUGUUAGGUCAAGUCCUCCAACGAGCGCGACCCCCGCCGCCAGUUGCCAUCAUCGAGUUGGGCACUCUGGCGGGACCGCCGGCGACAAGCCGGAGGAAGGCGGGGAUGACGUCAAGUCAUCAUGCCCCUUAUGCCCUGGGCCACACGCGUGCUACAAUGGCCGGCACAGUGGGAAGCGACGCCGCGAGGCGGAGCGGAUCCCAAAAGCCGGUCCCAGUACGGACCGGGGGCUGCAACCCGCCCCCGCGAAGCUGGAAUUGCUAGUAAUCGCGGAUCAGCCAAGCCGCGGUGAAUGCGUUCUCGGGCAUUGCACACACUGCCCGUCACACCAUGAAAGCCUGCAACGCUCUAAGUCGCCAGCCCGACCCGAAAGGGGGGGCGGCGCCCAAGGCGGGGCCGGUGAUUGGGGUUAAGUCGAAACAAGGUAUCCCUACGAGAACGUGGGGAUG